CGACCGGCGCACGGGUGAGUAACGUGUAUGCAACCUGCCUGAUAUCGGGGUAUAGCCCAUGGAAACGUGGAUUAACACCCCAUAGUACUUUUAUCCUGCAUGGGAUGUGAGUUAAAUGUUCAAGGUAUCGGAUGGGCAUGCGUCCUAUUAGUUAGUUGGCGGGGUAACAGCCCACCAAGACGAUGAUAGGUAGGGGUUCUGAGAGGAAGGUCCCCCACAUUGGAACUGAGACACGGUCCAA
rnacentral:rRNA from 1 species